UGAGGAGUAUUGGGCAAUGCCCGCAAGGGUGACCCAGCAACGCCGCGUGGAGGAUGAAUGUCGUAAGAUUGUAAACUCCUGUUAGAGGGGAAGAAUAGUACCGGUUGGACCGGUAUAUGACUGUACCCUCAGAGAAAGCCCCGGCUAACUACGUGCCAGCAGCCGCGGUAAUACGUAGGGGGCAAGCGUUGUCCGGAUUUACUGGGUGUAAAGGGCGCGCAGGCGGGAUAAAAAGUCAGUGGUGAAAUCCUACAGCUUAACUGUAGAACUGCCUCUGAUACUUUUAUUCUUGAGUUCGGGAGAGAGAGACGGAAUUCCAGGUGUAGUGGUUAAAUACGUAGAUAUCUGGAAGAACACCAGUUGCGAAGGCGGUCUCUUGGUCCGACACUGACGCUGAGGCGCGAAAGCGUGGGGAGCAAACA
rnacentral:rRNA from 1 species